rnacentral:rRNA from 1 species
AACGAACGCUGGCGGCGCGCCUAAUACAUGCAAGUCGAGCGAGAAGGUGUAGCAAUACACUUGUAAAGCGGCGAACGGGUGAGGAAUGCAUGGGUAACCUACCCUCGAGUGGGGAAUAACUAGCCGAAAGGUUAGCUAAUACCGCAUACGUUUCCGGAACUUCGGUUUCGGAAAGAAAGCAAUACCGUGGGUAUUGCGCUCCUGGAUGGGCUCAUGUCCUAUCAGCUUGUUGGUGAGGUAACGGCUCACCAAGGCUUCGACGGGUAGCUGGUCUGAGAGGACGAUCAGCCACACUGGCACUGCGACACGGGCCAGACUCCUACGGGAGGCAGCAGUAAGGAAUAUUGCGCAAUGGACGAAAAGUCUGACGCAGCGACGCCGCGUGGGGGAGUGAAGGUCUUCGGAUUGUAAACCCCUUUCGGGAGGGAAGGAUGGAGUGGGUAACCACUUGGACGGUACCUCCACGAAGCAGCCACGGCUAACUUCGUGCCAGCAGCCGCGGUAAU